GAUUGCGUGACCUAAUUCUGUAAUCGUGGUUCAUAAUAAUGAUCGUAGGCCAAUGCAGUUAAAUGCCGGGUCCAAGAAAUUCACGAGUUUCACAUAUAGGGACUUGACCAGACAUUCUUUUCUAAAGUGCGGCCGGACCCAAGACUAUAGUAUACCUUCAACAACAAUAGAUAGUAUUCUGUAACCUAUAUCAGGGUUCUAUCCAGUGAGGGGGGUAGGCGGGGGAGCUUUUCCCAAACACUUCAGCUUCCCCCCAAGCAGUCCAGCUUCACUAUAGUCUAACCUAAUGGCAUUCAAGGCAUUCAAAUCGCAUUCUGAGACCCCCGAAUAAUUCAUCUUCUCCCGACUAUAAUUAAUAAUAAUAAUUAUGUGCGUUGACUUCAUUGAACUAAUUUUUCGGAUUUACAGCCUCUCUUUUACUGUGAUAAUGGACCUGCCUGUGGUUGUGGUGAUGGGACUGGGCUGCAUUGCUACUGCUGCCACCAUUUAUAUUGGUCUGGCUUUUACCUGUCAGAGAGUUGCUGAAGAAUACCAACACAUCGACUUAUAGUCAUACCACUGCUGCGUGAUGGAGGAGGGUUUUACGAUUCUGUCAAUGCUGCCCAAGCCACUGCGUGGGUAUGCCUACUUACUAUUCAUCCUCAUCGUUUUAGUGGUGGUCAUCGUCCGAGUGGUGCUGUACAUUAAACGUCGCAAGACAGUCACUGUGGAUGGCAAUCGGCUCCUCUCUGAUGGCUUUAAUGACAAACCAGAUAAUAUUCAGUAGAGCUUCAGGCUUGGAACAGAACGUUAACGACUAUGUGACUUUUGGAAACAAUUGUUUCAUUUUUAUAAUUCCAUCUGCAAUCUAUA